rnacentral:tRNA from 1 species
GCCGAAGUGGUGAAAUUGGUAGACACGCACGUUUCAGAGGCGUGUGACGCAAGUCAUGCGGGUUCAAGUCCCGCCUUCGGCA